CGAGCGGGAACGAUGGUAGCUUGCUACCAGGCGUCGAGCGGCGGACGGGUGAGUAACGCGUGAGAAUCUGCCCAUUUGUGGGGGAAAACUCGGGGAAACCCGGGCUAAUACCGCAUAAUCUCUACGGAGGAAAGAGGGCCUCUACAUGUAAGCUCUCGCUAAUGGAUGAGCCCAAGUCAGAUUAGCUUGUUGGUAAGGUAAUGGCUUACCAAGGCUACGAUCUGUAGCUGGUCUGAGAGGACGACCAGCCACACUGGGACUGAGACACGGCCCAGACUCCUACGGGAGGCAGCAGUGGGGAAUAUUGCACAAUGGGCGCAAGCCUGAUGCAGCAAUGCCGCGUGUGUGAAGAAGGCUCUAGGGUUGUAAAGCACUUUCAAUAGAGAAGAAAAGCUUGAAAUUAAUACUGUCAAGCCUUGACGUAACCUAUACAAGAAGCACCGGCUAAUUCCGUGCCAGCAGCCGCGGUAAUACGGGAGGUGCGAGCGUUAAUCGGAAUUACUGGGCGUAAAGCGAGCGUAGGCUGUUAAUUAAGUCGAAUGUGAAAUCCCCGGGCUCAACCUGGGAACUGCAUCCGAAACUAUUUAACUAGAGUAUGGGA
rnacentral:rRNA from 1 species